rnacentral:lncRNA from 1 species
CUACCUUACCCACUCCUUCGGUUUAGCUCCAGGACCUGCCUUAAUGGUUCUGGUUUAGAGCAGCAGUUAUUUCAUUAAGUUGUAGUGUUGUAUUAGUUUCCUCAGGCUUCUGUAAGAAAAUACCAAUAUUCAGGUGGUUGAAAACAGCAGAAAUUUAUUGUCUCACAGUUGUCGAGGCUAGCAGUCCAAAACCAAGAUGUCAGUAAAGCCAUGCCCCCUCUGAAACCUGUAGGAGAGAAUCAUUGCUUGCUACUUCUAGGUUCUUGGAGUUUGCUGGCAUCUUUGGCUUAUAGAUGCAUCACUCCAAACUCAGCUUCUGUUGUGACAUCACAGCCUCCAUCUUGUGUCUUUUUUCUCUUCUAACAUCAGUUUUAUUGGAUUAAGAGCCCACCACACUCCAGUAUUUAAAUAUAACUAAUUACAUUUACAAUGACCUUCUUUUUAAGUUUCUUAUAUUGCCUUUAUGUUUCAAAAGUUUUUUUCUAUAUUGGAAUUAUUAACAGAUUCACAUAUAUUUUUCUAGUUAUUCAAAAUGAUUUUAUCUUAAAUACUUAGUUAUAAAUACAUAUAAAAUUAGCUUAGUGAAUGAUAUGUUGUGGACACAGCUAUAUUUCUUCAUCUAAAUAAUUAAUGAUUUAACCAUUAGAUGGUUAAUCUAUUUGUGAUCCUUGAUCUUUAGUGCAAACUUUGCCAUCUGGUAAAUUAUUAAACAGAUGCAAGUGUUUAUGUCUGAUUUCUGUACAUUGAUUUGAACUAAAGCAUUAAAGUUUAAUUACAAGAAUAAAGGGAUUUUGAUGUUCGAUUGAUCCUAAAUUUAAUCGUAGAGAAAGAAAAAAUACACACUACAGAAAAGUCUUUGAAGAUAUUUACCAUUCAUGUUGCAUGCUCUCUGUUUUUUCCCUCUAUCAUACAGGCAACCAGUUCAGACUCUCUCCCAAAUCAUUUUAACUUUUAAAAUUUCAAAGUAUUCAUCCAACUCAUGGCAACCAUUGUAAGUCCAGUGUUCUCAUUUUUUUAAAUUAGUAAAGUUUUAUAAUUAACACAGAUGAGAAGCACAA